GUGUUCUCUUUGGCAGCACAUAUACUAAAGUUGGAAUGAUACACAGAGAUUAGCAUGGACCCUGUGUAAGGAUGACACUCAAAUUCAUGUAGCAUUCCUUUUUUUU
ensembl:snRNA U6 U6 spliceosomal RNA